rnacentral:rRNA from 1 species
UAAUUUAAGGUCUAACCUGCCCACUGAAACUUUAAAUGGCCGUGGUAUUUUGACCGUGCUAAGGUAGCAUAAUCAUUAGUUUCUUAAUUAGGAACUGGAAUGAAAGGUUGGAUAAAAAAAUAGCUGUCUCUAUUUAUAUAUUUUUAUUAAAAUUUUAUUUUUAAGUUAAAAAGCUUAAUUAAUUAUUAUUAAAAGACGAGAAGACCCUAUAGAGUUUAAUUUUUUAAUAAAAAUUAUAUUUUAGCAUUAAAUUAUUUAUUUUAUUAAAAAAUUUAAUUGGGGUGAUUGAAAAAUUUAAUAAACUUUUUUUAUUUUAAAACAUUAAUUUAUGAAUAAAUGAUCCAAUAUUUUUGAUUAUAAGAUAAAAUUACCUUAGGGAUAACAGCGUAAUUUUUUUAUAAAGUUCAUAUUAAAAAAAAAGAUUGCGACCUCGAUGUUGGAUUAAAAUAAAUUUUUGGUGUAGAAGCUAAAAUAUUGGGUCUGUUCGACCUUUAAAAUUUUA